rnacentral:rRNA from 1 species
UACGUAGGGUGCAAGCGUUAAUCGGAAUUACUGGGCGUAAAGCGCACGUAGGCGGAUUUGUAAGUCAGGGGUGAAAUCCCGGGGCUCAACCUCGGAACUGCCUUUGAUACUGCAAUCUCGAGUCCGAUAGAGGUGGGUGGAAUUCCUAGUGUAGAGGUGAAAAUUCGUAGAUAUUAGGAAGAACACCGGUGGCGAAGGCGGCCCACUGGAUCGGUACUGACGCUGAGGUGCGAAAGCGUGGGGAGCAAACAGG